UACAGAGGUCCCAAGCGUUGUUCGGAUUCAUUGGGCGUAAAGGGUGCGUAGGCGGCGCGGUAAGUCGGGUGUGAAAUCUCGGGGCUUAACUCCGAAACUGCAUUCGAUACUGCCGUGCUUGAGGACUGGAGAGGAGACUGGAAUUUACGGUGUAGCGGUGAAAUGCGUAGAUAUCGUAAGGAAGACCAGUGGCGAAGGCGGGUCUCUGGACAGUUCCUGACGCUGAGGCACGAAGGUCGGGGGAGCAAACGGG
rnacentral:rRNA from 1 species